AAUUCAUGUUACAACGUCAUGCAAGCCAUAUGUAUUUUAAAUCACUAAACCGUAUGAAGUAGGUAGAUUUUGUUGAUUAUAACACCUAAAGUCCAUAUAAUUAAGGAAGAUUGUUGAUAAUAAUAUAUGUUAUUGUUAGUAUUGCAUUUCAUUUCAUAAUUAAUAAAUAAUUCUAAUAAACGUGUUUUGGGAGCAUGAUAACUAGGAGUUAUAUCUGAUUUACCUCAGUGUGCAUCAUGCCUUCUACUUAUCUGGGAUCAUUAGGACUUAGAUACUAACGUAAAAGUUAUCGUCCCUCUGCUAAUGUGUGAGAGCAUCAAGGAAUUGACAAAGCUUUCUUUUUAAAAGGAGUACUAAAUACUCUUCCGCCUAUGGACUCUGGGAUCCCUUGUGUACUAUUGAUUUGCUCAUUUACAGCUGACCUUGAUUACUGAUAUUGUAUUCAAAGCUUUCCAUAGAUGCGGAUAGGCCUCCCAUACUUCCACUGAAAGAGGACACGCUGGAGGCUCAUCUGUUCUCCAUUUAUUUUGAAUUUUGCUGAACCAACACACAGACGUCACUAUUAUAAAUAACAGUACUGCUCUUCUUUGUGUUUUUUUGUAUUAUUUUGGAAAGAAACCUGUCUGUUUUUACUUGCUUACAUCCUUCUAUGUACCCUUGUUGACUACCUCCAUCUUUCCAAAGGCUCUAAGGCAUUCAUAAAGGCCUCUUUUUCAAAGAAAUAUUACUAUUAAUACUACUCAUUGUAUGUGUCUAAAUCCAAAGAUAUUGUAUCAAGCAAAUGUGCAUUUUAUUUCUGUAUUCAGGUUGAAUAAAUUAUUGAAAUAAAUCUUCUACAUUA
rnacentral:lncRNA from 1 species